UACCAGACUCCUACGGGAGGCAGCAGUGAGGAAUAUUGGUCAAUGGCCGCAGGGCUGAACCAGCCAAGUCGCGUGAGGGAUGACGGUCCUAUGGAUUGUAAACCUCUUUUGUCAGGGAGCAAAGGGCGCCACGUGUGGCGCUUUGCGAGUACCUGAAGAAAAAGCAUCGGCUAACUCCGUGCCAGCAGCCGCGGUAAUACGGAGGAUGCGAGCGUUAUCCGGAUUUAUUGGGUUUAAAGGGUGCGUAGGCGGAAUGCCAAGUCAGCGGUAAAAUCGCGGGGCUCAACCUCGCUCCGCCGUUGAAACUGGUUUUCUUGAGUGAGCGAGAAGUAUGCGGAAUGCGUGGUGUAGCGGUGAAAUGCAUAGAUAUCACGCAGAACUCCGAUUGCGAAGGCAGCAUACCGGCGCUCAACUGACGCUCAUGCACGAAAGUGUGGGUAUCGAACAGGAUUAGAUACCCGGGUACA
rnacentral:rRNA from 1 species